rnacentral:rRNA from 1 species
AUUGAACGCUGGCGGCAUGCUUUACACAUGCAAGUCGAACGGUAACAGGCCUUCGGGUGCUGACGAGUGGCGAACGGGUGAGUAAUGCAUCGGAACGUACCCAGAGGUGGGGGAUAACGCAGCGAAAGCUGUGCUAAUACCGCAUGUGAUCUGAGGAUGAAAGCGGGGGACCGAGCAGCAAUGUUUGGCCUCGCGCCUUUGGAGCGGCCGAUGUCGGAUUAGCUAGUUGGUGGGGUAAAGGCCUACCAAGGCGACGAUCCGUAGCUGGUCUGAGAGGACGACCAGCCACACUGGGACUGAGACACGGCCCAGACUCCUACGGGAGGCAGCAGUGGGGAAUUUUGGACAAUGGGCGCAAGCCUGAUCCAGCAAUGCCGCGUGCGGGAAGAAGGCCUUCGGGUUGUAAACCGCUUUUGGCAGGAACGAAACGGUGUCCCCUAAUACCGGGCGCUAAUGACGGUACCUGCAGAAUAAGCACCGGCUAACUACGUG